UGCCAGCAGCCGCGGUAAUACGAAGGGGGUUAGCGUUGUUCGGAAUUACUGGGCGUAAAGCGUACGUAGGCGGAUUAAUAAGUUAGAGGUGAAAUCCCAGGGCUCAACCCUGGAACUGCCUUUAAAACUGUUAGUCUUGAGAUCGAGAGAGGUGAGUGGAAUUCCAAGUGUAGAGGUGAAAUUCGUAGAUAUUUGGAGGAACACCAGUGGCGAAGGCGGAUCACUGGCUCGAUACUGACGCUCAGACACGAAGGCUAGGGUAGCGAAAGGGAUUAGAUA
rnacentral:rRNA from 1 species